CAAUAGCGUAUAUUUAAGUUGCUGCAGUUAAAAAGCUCGUAGUUGGAUUUCGGGUGGGAAUGGCCGGUCCGCCGUUUCGGUGUGCACUUGCUACGCCCACCUUGCUGCCGGGGACGUGCUCUUGAGUUCACGCUCGGGACACGGAGUCGGCGAGGUUACUUUGAGUAAAUUAGAGUGUUCAAAGCAGGCCUACGCUCUGAAUACAUUAGCAUGGAAUAACACGAUAGGACUCUGGCCUAUCUUGUUGGUCUGUAGGACCGGAGUAAUGAUUAAGAGGGACAGUCGGGGGCAUUCGUAUUUCAUUGUCAGAGGUGAAAUUCUUGGAUUUAUGAAAGACGAUCUACUGCGAAAGCAUUUGCCAAGGAUGUUUUCAUUAA
rnacentral:rRNA from 1 species